rnacentral:tRNA from 1 species
GGCCGCCUGGCGAAAUGGCAUCGCGUCUGACUACGAUGUAUAUUAUCGAAAUCAGGAGAUUGCAGGUUCGACCCCUGCGGUGGUCA